GGGUCAGUAGGUUGGUCGUGCCACCGGUACGUACUGGUCUCACUGAUUCCUCCUUCCUGAAGAACCGUAAUGCCAUUAAUUUGGUGUUGCGGGGAAACAGGACUGUUACUUUGAAAAAAUUAGAGUGUUUAAAGCAAGCUAACGCUUGAAUACAUUAGCAUGGAAGAAUGAAAUAGGACGAUCGAUCCUAUUUUGUUGGUUUCUAGGAUUGACGUA
rnacentral:rRNA from 1 species